rnacentral:misc_RNA from 1 species
CGCACAUUGCGCCCCCUGGUAUUCCGGGGGGCAUACCUGUUCGAGCGUCAUUAUCAACCCUCAAGCUUAGCUUGGUAUUGGGCGUGCGUCUCCUUGGACGCGCCUUAAACUCGUCGGCGGCGACCUAGAGUCCUAAGCGUAGUACUAUCCUUAGCUUACAGUCUCAAAGGUUGUCUGCCCCUAGAACCUCCCAUCUAAUGGUUGACCUCGGAUCAGGUAGGGAUACCCGCUGAACUUAA